rnacentral:rRNA from 1 species
UCCCAGGAGGCUGCCUUCGCCAUCGGUGUUCCUCCGCAUAUCUACGCAUUUCACUGCUACACGCGGAAUUCCACCUCCCUCUGACACACUCUAGCUCGGUAGUUAAAAAUGCAGUUCCAAAGUUGAGCUCUGGGAUUUCACAUCUUUCUUUCCGAACCGCCUGCGCACGCUUUACGCCCAGUAAUUCCGAUUAACGCUUGCACCCUACGUAUUACCGCGGCUGCUGGCACGUAGUUAGCCGGUGCUUAUUCUGCAGGUACCGUCAGUUUCACGGGGUAUUA